UAGGGCUAGCCUCAAGUGAUGAUUAUUGGAGGUAGAGCACUGUUUGGACGAGGGGCCCCUCUCGGGUUACCGAAUUCAGACAAACUCCGAAUGCCAAUUAAUUUAACUUGGGAGUCAGAACAUGGGUGAUAAGGUCCGUGUUCGAAAGGGAAACAGCCCAGACCACCAGCUAAGGUCCCAAAAUAUAUGUUAAGUGGAAAAGGAUGUGGCGUUGCCCAGACAACUAGGAUGUUGGCUUAGAAGCAGCCAUCAUUUAAAGAGUGCGUAAUAGCUCACUAGUCGAGUGACACUGCGCCGAAAAUGUACCGGGGCUAAACAUAUUACCGAAGCUGUGGAUUGUCCUUUGGACAAUGGUAGGAGAGCGUUCUAAGGGCGUUGAAGCAUGAUCGUAAGGACAUGUGGAGCGCUUAGAAGUGAGAAUGCCGGUGUGAGUAGCGAAAGACGGGUGAGAAUCCCGUCCACCGAUUGACUAAGGUUUCCAGAGGAAGGCUCGUCCGCUCUGGGUUAGUCGGGUCCUAAGCUGAGGCCGACAGGCGUAGGCGAUGGAUAACAGGUUGAUAUUCCUGUACCACCUAUAAUCGUUUUAAUCGAUGGGGGGACGCAGUAGGAUAGGCGAAGCGUGCGAUUGGAUUGCACGUCUAAGCAGUAAGGCUGAGUAUUAGGCAAAUCCGGUACUCAUUAAGGCUGAGCUGUGAUGGGGAGAAGACAUUGUGUCUUCGAGUCGUUGAUUUCACACUGCCGAGAAAAGCCUCUAGAUAGAAAAUAGGUGCCCGUACCGCAAACCGACACAGGUAGUCAAGAUGAGAAUUCUAAGGUGAGCGAGCGAACUCUCGUUAAGGAACUCGGCAAAAUGACCCCGUAACUUCGGGAGAAGGGGUGCUCUUUAGGGUUAACGCCCAGAAGAGCCGCAGUGAAUAGGCCCAAGCGACUGUUUAUCAAAAACACAGGUCUCUGCUAAACCGUAAGGUGAUGUAUAGGGGCUGACGCCUGCCCGGUGCUGGAAGGUUAAGAGGAGUGGUUAGCUUCUGCGAAGCUACGAAUCGAAGCCCCAGUAAACGGCGGCCGUAACUAUAACGGUCCUAAGGUAGCGAAAUUCCUUGUCGGGUAAGUUCCGACCCGCACGAAAGGCGUAACGAUUUGGGCACUGUCUCAACGAGAGACUCGGUGAAAUCAUAGUACCUGUGAAGAUGCAGGUUACCCGCGACAGGACGGAAAGACCCCGUGGAGCUUUACUGUAGCCUGAUAUUGAAAUUCGGCACAGCUUGUACAGGAUAGGUAGGAGCCUUUGAAACGUGAGCGCUAGCUUACGUGGAGGCGCUGGUGGGAUACUACCCUAGCUGUGUUGGCUUUCUAACCCGCACCACUUAUCGUGGUGGGAGACAGUGUCAGGCGGGCAGUUUGACUGGGGCGGUCGCCUCCUAAAAGGUAACGGAGGCGCUCAAAGGUUCCCUCAGAAUGGUUGGAAAUCAUUCAUAGAGUGUAAAGGCAUAAGGGAGCUUGACUGCGAGACCUACAAGUCGAGCAGGGUCGAAAGACGGACUUAGUGAUCCGGUGGUUCCGCAUGGAAGGGCCAUCGCUCAACGGAUAAAAGCUACCCCGGGGAUAACAGGCUUAUCUCCCCCAAGAGUUCACAUCGACGGGGAGGUUUGGCACCUCGAUGUCGGCUCAUCGCAUCCUGGGGCUGUAGUCGGUCCCAAGGGUUGGGCUGUUCGCCCAUUAAAGCGGUACGCGAGCUGGGUUCAGAACGUCGUGAGACAGUUCGGUCCCUAUCCGUCGUGGGCGUAGGAAAUUUGAGAGGAGCUGUCCUUAGUACGAGAGGACCGGGAUGGACAUACCUCUGGUGUACCAGUUGUCGUGCCAACGGCAUAGCUGGGUAGCUAUGUGUGGACGGGAUAAGUGCUGAAAGCAUCUAAGCAUGAAGCCCCCCUCAAGAUGAGAUUUCCCAACUUCGGUUAUAAGAUCCCUCAAAGAUGAUGAGGUUAAUAGGUUCGAGGUGGAAGCAUGGUGACAUGUGGAGCUGACGAAUACUAAUCGAUCGAAGACUUAAUCAA
rnacentral:rRNA from 1 species